rnacentral:rRNA from 1 species
UACGGAGGGGGCGAGCGUUAUUCGGAAUUAUUGGGCGUAAAGGGCGCGUAGGCGGCUUGGCAAGUGGAUGGUGAAAUCCCUCGGCUUAACCGAGGAACUGCCGUCCAAACUGCUUCGCUUGAGACCGGGAGAGGUGAGUGGAAUUCCCAGUGUAGCGGUGAAAUGCGUAGAUAUUGGGAGGAACACCAGUGGCGAAGGCGGCUCACUGGACCGGUACUGACGCUGAUGCGCGAAAGCGUGGGGAGCAAACGGG